AGUGAACGCUGGCGGCGUGCCUAAUACAUGCAAGUCGAACGAAGUGGCGCACGGGUGAGUAAUAUAUAUUUAUUCUGCCCUACCCAGAGGAACAACAGUUUGAAACGACUGCUCUUAUCUCAUAGUGUAGGAUGAGACUAUAUCGUAUCAGAUGGUUGGUAAGGUAAUGGCUUACCAAGGCUAUGACGGGUAACUGGUCUGAGAGGAUGAUCAGUCACAGUGGAAGAGAGACACGGUCGAAACUCCUACGGGAUGCAGGAGUAAGGAAUAGUGCGAAAUGGGGGAAGCCCUGACGCAGCAACGCCGCGUGGAGGAUGACACUUUACGGAGCGUAAACGACUAUUAUCAGGAAAGCGGUACCUGAUGAAUAAGCACCGGCUAACUCCGUGCCAGCAGCCGCGGUAAUAC
rnacentral:rRNA from 1 species